GAUGAACGCUGACAGAAUGCUUAACACAUGCAAAUUGGAUGUAGGUUAGACUAGCUUGCUAGUUUAACUGGCAUGGUGGACUGGUGAGUAACGUGUAAAGAACUUGCCCUUUAGACUGGGAUAACAAGGAGAAAUUCUUGAUAAUACUAGAUAUAAUGUUUAUAUGGCAUCAAAUAGACAUGAAAGGAAGAGAUUUGCUAAAGGAGAGCUUUGCAUCCUAUUAGCUAGUUGGUAAGGUAAAGGCUUACCAAGGCUAUGAUAGGUAGCCGGCCUGAGAGGGUGAACGGCCACAAGGGGACUGAGAUACGGCCCUU
rnacentral:rRNA from 1 species